rnacentral:lncRNA from 1 species
CUGGAUUCAGUAAAGAGUAUGGCCUCCUAGAUACCGACCUCAUGCCAUACGGAUGCAGUCAGGCUCUGGCGGUCAGGAAGGUGGCUCCGGAGCUCGGCUCUGCACCGCAUCCUCUGCCCCCUGUUUCCCGAGAUUGCUCCUGGACACACCUUUCUCUCCCGCCCUGUGGGGUACACAGCACCCAUGACAGCUUCUGUGGGACAAGAAACGGUGCGGGGCGAGGAGGGCGGGAGGCGGAGGAAGCAGAUCUGGGUCUGGGUUCUGUUUGUGGAGUGGAAAUGUAAGAACCAGGCGAGCUGACCGGGUGGCUGGGCCGUGUGGACCCAGAUCAGCACUGUGCCAUGGUGCUCUCGAGAGCCAAAGAGCCAGCCCACCUUGCAGGGCUGGGCCCGUCUGUUCCAGAAACCACAUCUGCAGCCAUACGGCAGCAGCUGCCUGUUGACGGCAGCGUUGGAUCCUCUGACCACAGCUGAAGCUUUGACCAACAAAAGUCCCAGGGAGCUGCUCAGGGCGGGAUCAGAAAAGAGGGUGCUUAGCAAGCCACACGCCACACACCCUCCCUGGGAGGCCCUGACAGCGCUUCUCUCCCUCCCAUUUUCGCUCUGGCAGCCAUCGUGGCGCAGACCGUGGAGCAGGGGCAGCUCUUACCCCUGGGUCUGGCAUCAGGAGCGUGUCCCACCGGCUCUGUUGCCGCAGCCUCAAAGCCCCACGUGGGGCAGCAGCCGGAUCGGCACUGGGGGAGCCGGAAUCCAUCAACCUCGGCCUCAGAUCAGCAUCCGCCCAGCCCUCCUGCCCCACAUCCGAGCCAUUUCAAGGGCUGCAGGGACAUUGGGAUGAUGGGGAAGUGGGCCGAGGACAGCCCCAGGGAAGGCUUUGUCUGAACUCCUCAAAUCACCGGGCGCUGACAUUUGGGAUUUUUGCCUUCCUGGCGCACCCCCACCCCACAUGCACACUCACGUGCAUGGCGUCGGCAGGAUGUGGGUGCUGCAGAGGUGCCCCCACUUCUGUGUCUCCCACGCAGCCCCGGGAACCUGGGCCCCACAGGAGCCAGGAGCUGCAGCACAGGACCAAGAAGCUUGACCUUUUCUCCCCAACUGCUAAAUCGCCAGUCCUUUGGAGCAACAGUGUCCUCUACAUAAAGGAGCA